UGGCGAACGGGUGAGUAACGCGUGAGGAACCUGCCUCAAAGAGGGGGGACAACAGUUGGAAACGACUGCUAAUACCGCAUAAGCCCACGGGUCGGCAUCGACCAGAGGGAAAAGGAGCAAUCCGCUUUGAGAUGGCCUCGCGUCCGAUUAGCUAGUUGGUGAGGUAAUGGCCCACCAAGGCAACGAUCGGUAGCCGGACUGAGAGGUUGAACGGCCACAUUGGGACUGAGACACGGCCCAGACUCCUACGGGAGGCAGCAUG
rnacentral:rRNA from 1 species